AAAUCCGUUGGCUUUAUUGACCGUGAGGGUUCAAGUCCCUCUACCCCCAA
rnacentral:tRNA from 1 species